UACCUCUUUAAGAAUUCAAGACCUCACA
rnacentral:piRNA from 1 species